AGGACGAACGCUGGCGGCGUGCUUAACACAUGCAAGUCGAGCGGAAAGGCCCUUCGGGGUACUCGAGCGGCGAACGGGUGAGUAACACGUGAGUAACCUGCCUCUGACUUUGGGAUAACCCUCGGAAACGGGGGCUAAUACCGGGUAUUCAUUCCUUGCGGCAUCGUGGGGUGUGGAAAGCUUUUGCGGUCAGGGAUGGGCUCGCGGCCUAUCAGCUUGUUGGUGGGGUGAUGGCCUACCAAGGCGACGACGGGUAGCCGGCCUGAGAGGGCGACCGGCCACACUGGGACUGAGACACGGCCCAGACUCCUACGGGAGGCAGCAGUGGGGAAUAUUGCACAAUGGGCGGAAGCCUGAUGCAGCGACGCCGCGUGAGGGAUGACGGCCUUCGGGUGUAAACCUCGUUCGCCAGGACGAAGCGAAAGUGACGUACCGUGAGAAGAAGCGCCGCAACUACGUGCCAGCAGCCGC
rnacentral:rRNA from 1 species